rnacentral:lncRNA from 1 species
AUAAAGUAAUAUGCACUUUUUUUAAAAAACCGUUCCUGGCGUGGGGCAUAUUUUGUAGUUGCUGUAAAGGUGUUUAUAGGGUUGGACAUUUUCGAUGCUGUAUUCUCCCUAUUUUUUGUCUAUCAUAUAAGAACAUUCCGGUCAGACAUUAAAACCCCUGCCACAAAAAAAUAUGCCCGUUUUAUUCAUCAUGUUCAUUUAAUGCCAUACAAUUCUGUUGGAAAUAUUCAUUUCUAAUAGCAAAAAGGUGGACAAGAUUUUU